UACGUAGGGGGCUAGCGUUGUCCGGAAUCAUUGGGCGUAAAGAGCGUGUAGGCGGCCCGAUAAGUCCGCUGUGAAAGUCCAGGGCUCAACCCUGGGAUGCCGGUGGAUACUGUCGGGCUCGAGUCCGGAAGAGGAGUGUGGAAUUCCUGGUGUAGCGGUGAAAUGCGCAGAUAUCAGGAGGAACACCAAUGGCGAAGGCAGCACUCUGGGACGUGACUGACGCUGAGACGCGAAAGCGUGGGGAGCAAACAGG
rnacentral:rRNA from 1 species